rnacentral:rRNA from 1 species
UCAGGGUUUCAUGUCCGUUAAGCUUGAUACAUGGGCGUCGAGCGGACCUGAUGGAGUGCUUGCGCUCUUGAAGGGUAGCGGCGGACGGGUGAGUAACACGUAGGCAACCUGCCCUCAAGACUGGGAUAACUACCGGAAACGGUAGCUAAUACCGGAUAAUUUAUUUUGCAGCAUUGUGGAAUAAUGAAAGGCGGAGCAAUCUGUCACUUGAGGAUGGGCCUGCGGCGCAUUAGCUAGUUGGUGGGGUAACGGCCCACCAAGGCGACGAUGCGUAGCCGACCUGAGAGGGUGAACGGCCACACUGGGACUGAGACACGGCCCAGACUCCUACGGGAGGCACCAGUAGGGAAUCUUCCGCGAUGGGCGAAAGCCUGACGGAGCCCCGCCGCGUGAGUGAUGAAGGUUUUCGGAUCGGAAAGCUCUGUUGCCAAGAAAGAACGUCUUCUAAAGUAACUGCUAGGAGAGUGACGGUACUUGAGAAGAAGCCCGGCUAACUAAGGUGCCAGCAGCCGCGGAAAAAACGUAGGGGGCAAGCGUUGCCCGGAAAUUAUUGGGCGUAAAGCGCGCGCAGGCGGUUCUUUAAAGUCUGGUGUUUAAACCCGAGGGCUCAAUUUCGGGUCGACUGGAAACUGGGGGAAUUUGAGUGCAGAAGAGGGAGUGGAAUUCCCCCGUGGUGGCGGAGAAAAUGCGUAAAAUAUGUGGAAGAACCACCAGUGGCGAAGGCCACCUCCUCUGGGCUGAUAACUGACCCUGAGGCGCGAAAGCCGUGGGGGAGCAAACAGGAUUAGAUACCCCGGGUAGUCCAACGCCCGCAAAACGAAUGAAUGCUAGGGUUUUAAGGGGUUUUCGACUACUCUUUGGCGCCCGAAGUUAACACAUUAAAGCUUUUCCCGCCGGGGAGAAGAAACGCGUCGCCAAAACUGAA